CGUGUAGGCGGCUGGGUAAGUCAGAUGUGAAAGCCCUGGGCUCAACCCAGGAAGUGCAUUUGAAACUGCUUAGCUAGAGUAGGGGAGAGGGAAGUGGAAUUCCUGGUGUAGAGGUGAAAUUCGUAGAUAUCAGGAGGAACACCGGUGGCGAAGGCGACUUCCUGGCCCUAUACUGACGCUGAGACGCGAGAGCGUGGGGAGCAAACA
rnacentral:rRNA from 1 species